AUUGAACGCUGGCGGCAUGCUUUACACAUGCAAGUCGAACGGCAGCGCGGGCUUCGGCCUGGCGGCGAGUGGCGAACGGGUGAGUAAUGCAUCGGAACGUGCCCAGUAGUGGGGGAUAGCCCGGCGAAAGCCGGAUUAAUACCGCAUACGACCUGCGGGUGAAAGCGGGGGACCGAAGGGCCUCGUGCUAUUGGGGCGGCCGAUGUCGGAUUUGCUAGUUGGUGGGGUAAAGGCUUACCAAGGCGUCGAUCCGUAGCUGGUCUGAGAGGACGACCAGCCACACUGGGACUGAGACACGGCCCAGACUCCUACGGGAGGCAGCAGUGGGGAAUUUUGGACAAUGGGGGCAACCCUGAUCCAGCCAUGCCGCGUGCGGGAAGAAGGCCUUCGGGUUGUAAACCGCUUUUGUUCGGGAAGAAAUCCUCUGGGCUAAUACCCCGGGGGGAUGACGGUACCGGAAGAAUAAGCACCGGCUAACUACGUG
rnacentral:rRNA from 1 species